AAACAUGUCUUUUUGAUUUAUAUUUAAAGUCUAACCUGCCCAAUGAAAAUUUAAUGGCCGCAGUAUAUUAACUGUGCAAAGGUAGCAUAAUAAUUAGUCUUUUAAUUGAAGGCUGGAAUGAAUGGUUGGACGAAGUAUAAGCUGUUUCAUAUAAAUUUAAAUUAGAAUUUUAUUUUUUAGUUAAAAAGCUAAAAUUUUAUUAAAAGACGAGAAGACCCUAUAAAUCUUUAUAAUUUUAUAUGUAUAUAUUUUUUAGUUUUUAUUUAUUUAUACAUAUAAAAUUAUUUUAUUGGGGUGAUAUUAAAAUUUAAUAAACUUUUAAAUUAAAUUUCAUUAAUUUAUGAAUUAUUGAUCCAUUAAUAAUGAUUAUAAGAUUAAGUUACUUUAGGGAUAACAGCGUAAUUUUUUUGGAGAGUUCAUAUCGAUAAAAAAGAUUGCGACCUCGAUGUUGGAUUAAGAAAAUUAUUAGGUGUAGGUGCUUAAAUAAUAAGUCUGUUCGACUUUUAAAUUCUUACAUGAUC
rnacentral:rRNA from 1 species